rnacentral:lncRNA from 1 species
UUAGAAGCAAGAUGGAGUCGGUUAGGUCAGACCUCUUUCACUGUCUCAGUUAUAAUUUUGCAAUGGCAGUUUCAGUUGUUGAUCUGGCAGAUGUUUUCUUUUCCCAUCUGGAAAGAGGAUCAAAGCAGAGGACAUUUAUGCAGAAAAGAUAGCAAAAUAUAUUCCAUGCUGCAAGGUUAUGUUAACUCUUCAGGUUUUUGUCACAGUAUAGUAGGAAGGAACUUUGUGUAUCUUAACAUUCCACAGAGCAUCAUAGUAUUUAUUAUAUUGAUGACAUCAUGUUAAUUGUGUUGGUGCAAGGAAGUGGGAAGUAUUCUGGAUACCUUGGCAAGACCCAUGGGUCUUGCGUCAUAGCCUGAGAGAUAAAUCCUACAAUGAUUUAGGGGUCUGCCAUACUUAUGAAGAUUUUAGGGACUCAAUGGUUUGGGCUAUGCAGGGAUAUCCCCUUUAAGAUGCCAAGAACCUGGACAUCCUCCACCAGAACAAUCUCACAACAUGUCAAGUUUCCAGAGAUUGCUACUGCCUUCUUAAGCAGAUUUUCAAUGACCUAAGUUCCACUGGAAGUAGACCUAACAUAACUAGGAUGAACAGGAAACCUCUGAAUGUGAAAGUGAACACUAUUAAUACUUACAUGAAGGCAACAGGCAUGAACUGGAACAACCUUGGCCAUGCUGGGACGUAUGUUCACCCUAAGCAAAGAUCAGGAAUUCAGGCAGGGCUUGGCUGAGUGACUUCUCUGUUCCACAUGGCAUUGACACGGUACGUUUCAGCUGGUGGCUGGCCUGGUCUGGUGGGUCCAAGGUAGCUUUGUUCACAUGCCUGCUGUCUUGGUGAGGUGGCCAGAAGUUUGGGCUGAGCUAGUUCUUUCUCUCUUUUUCUGCAGUCUCAGGGCCUCUCCAUGUGUUUUCUCGAGCAAUGUGUUUGGUCUUCUGGAAUUAUGAUUCAUGGAUUCAAGAGACCACGGUAGAAGCUUCUAAUCCUCUUAAAAAGCAAGACUGAUCAUGGGAAACUGUCCUGUCCACUAGUACAUUAUUUAAAUGGGAGAUCUGGAAAUACUGUUUCUGGAGAAAGCUCUUCCUGACCUUGAGGAAAGGAAUCAAUGCUCUGGGGUCCAGGUUUAAUGGAUUAUCAUUCCUGUUAGCCAUUAAUAGCUACUGUGUCAGAAAAAGAGAAAAUAGAAUUUUUCUUCAGUGGCAACAGGAGAAAGGGGACGUAGGUUAAAUUGGCUGAGGAAGGGGGGAGAAGUGUAUGUGUGGAAGUGAACACAAGGGCUAGCAGGGAGGUCACUGCCAGAGAAGUUCCAUGCCCCACCCUGAUGGUCCUGGUCUGUAUUGGGAGCUUCGGUGCUGGCCUUAAGCGUACUGCAGGUGAACGACAGCCACUGUGGGUGCCCAGCUGAGUCCUCUUUCCUUUACUCCGCAGCAAUCAGAGGAAGCUACUCUCUGAUUUGUAACCUACUUCUGUCUCCAGGACAACCAUAAGACCAAAGGACUCCUUGGACACCUAGUCAGGAGGGUGGUGAGUUGAACUGAGCAAGCUUGAGCAUCUCAAACUGAAGUGGACACUUGCGCUUUAUACAGAGUAAGGCCCAAAUUGAAUUAACCUGGAGUGAGUCUGCAACAAGCCUAGCGUCUGCAUUUCUAUAACUGAUCUCAGCUAACACUGGAGCUACUUAAAUUCCCAAUGAUUUUAGAAAACUAUUUUUUUUAAAGUGUGUGAUUUGAAGGUAAAUGAACCUAUUCCAAUUUAACUGCUUUAUUUUUGUGGUUGCAUAUAUAAUCAUAUUUAAGCAAUUUAAAAUCCAAACUCCCUUUUGGAGCUGUUUUAUUUUCUGAAGGGUCUUCCUUCCUUUUUCUUAUGCCCAAGAUGGUGUCUGGGUGCAGAAGGAAGCUUAUUUACCUUCCGGCUUUGGGGAAGGGCUCCUUACCCAAGUGAUGUGGUUCUCUCGUUUCCCUGUUGAUCACCAGCUGAGAUAUGUACUCACCUCACUUGACUUCUAUCCUCACUGUGUCUGCUGAUAAAAUGUCAGUUUUGUCCUCCAUUAGCUUUCUGGCCUGCCUGUGUAACCCAAGGCCUUCAGUGUCAUCUCACCUCUCUCUGUAGUGACCCAAAGGCAAGUUCAUAGAUUCCUGACUCUUGGCUAGCUUCUAUGACUUUUUCUAGGAACAAGUAGGAGCUUCUGGCUCUUUUCUAUACUGCAAGGGAAAGUGUAGUAAACUUGAGGAUGGCUAAUACAGUCCCCUCUAACAACUCAUGCUUCUUUCUCCUCCACUGCAAACACACAUGCUGGUUUAGGCCAGCAGGCACUAUGUGUGGUGUGGUGGUCUGCCCUCUGUCCCAGACAGGAAUUGCAGUGCCUGAGGGCCUUUUUCCACCCAGGGCACAACUCGCCAGUUUGAAGUUUCUAGCUUAUCUAUCUUCUCUGCCUCAUUUCUGGCUCCACAUUCAACCCCUCCACUGGCUAAAUCUUAGGGGUCCAGAGUGGGACCACUGAGAUCCUAAAGAAUCCAGGCAGGGCGUGCACUUUGCUCCCUGCUAAGCUCUCCUGCUGCUCAGGAGGGGUGUGUGCCCUCUCCUCAAUCUGGUAGAUACUUCUUUCAUCAUUGGUUUUGAAAUCCUCCACUGAUGACUUUGUUGUUCUGGGUGUUUCCUCUGUCCUCUCCUCUCAUAUCUUAAUGGUGGAUAGGGUUUUAGGGAUUAAAAAAUCUCUGGAUUACUGAAAGGAAAAAUGUUUAGAGAGGCAUUUAAGAUGAUUUUUCUUAUUAUCACUUUUAAACCCACACUGAAGGUCUAGGUCCUAUACCUGUUCUGUUGGAAUCUUGGCCAAUCUCACAGUUUUUCUGGUCAUUCUUAGAAUAGUUAUAAUGGCCUUUGUUUAAAAAACAAUUUCAUAUGAAAACUAAAAUAUGCAGGUCAGCAUAAUAAUCAAACCCUUAUACUCUUACCUAAAUGUCAUUACGUAGGUUUCCCCCAAACAUCACCUCCUCAGGGAGGCUUUCUCUGACCAUUAAAUGUAGCCUCAUGGAAGUUCUAGGCAACCUUUGCCAUUUCCUGUUGUAACACCUUGAUUUAGUUCACUUAACAUAUACAUAUUGGGGGCUUACUACGUGGCAUCCAGAAUUAUUCUAGGCACUAGGAAUAUCACAAUAAAUAAGACAGAGCCGGUCCUUUACCUAGUGGAAGGACACAAGCACUAGACAAACAAUUAAAUGAGCAAGAAAAAUAUCAUUUAGCAGCAUGUGCUAUGCAGAUAAUUUUGUUUUUUGAGACAGAGUCUCACUGUGUCACCCAGGCUGGAGUGCAG